AUUGAACGCUAGCGGGAUGCCUUACACAUGCAAGUCGAACGGAGUGGCGAACGGGUGAGUGAUGUAUCGGAACGUGCCCAGUAGCGGGGGAUAACUACGCGAAAGCGUAGCUAAUACCGAACACUCUCGGAGCGGUCGACAUCGGAUUAGCUAGCUGGUGGGGUAACGGCUCACCAAGGCGACGAUCCGUAGCUGGUUUGUGAGGACGACCAGCCACACUGUGACUGAGACACGGCCCAGACUCCUACGGGAGGCAGCAGUGGGGAAUUUUGGACAAUGGGGGAAACCCUGAUCCAGCCAUGCCGCGUGUGUGAAGAAGGCCUUCGGGUUGUAAAGCACUUUUGGCAGGAAAGCGGUACCUGCAGAAUAAGCACCGGCUAACUACGUGCCAGCAGCCGCGGUAAUAC
rnacentral:rRNA from 1 species